GACGAACGCUGGCGGCGUGCUUAACACAUGCAAGUCGAACGGUGAAGCGAGUUCCUGCCCUCGUGUAUCAGUGGCGAACGGGUGAGUAACACGUGAGUAACCUGCCCAUCACUCUGGGAUAAGCACUGGAAACGGUGUCUAAUACUGGAUACGCCCAACCCUUGCAUGGGGUGUUGGUGGAAGGAUUUAUCGGUUUUGGAUGGACUCGCGGCCUAUCAGCUUGUUGGCGGGGUAAUGGCACACCAAGGCGACGCCGGGUAGCCGGCCUGAGAGGGUGACCGGCCACACUGGGACUGAGACACGGCCCAGACUCCUACGGGAGGCAGCAGUGGGGAAUAUUGCACAAUGGGCGAAAGCCUGAUGCAGCGACGCCGCGUGAGGGAUGACGGCCUUCGGGUUGUAAACCUCUUGCAGCAGGGAAGAAGCGAAAGUGACGGUACCUGCAGAAGAAGCACCGGCUAACUACGUG
rnacentral:rRNA from 1 species